rnacentral:rRNA from 1 species
AACGCGAAGAACCUUACCUAGACUUGACAUCUCCUGCAUUACCCUUAAUCGGGGAAGUUCCUUCGGGGACAGGAAGACAGGUGGUGCAUGGUUGUCGUCAGCUCGUGUCGUGAGAUGUUGGGUUAAGUCCCGCAACGAGCGCAACCCUUGCCUUUAGUUGCCAGCAUUAAGUUGGGCACUCUAGAGGGACUGCCAGGGAUAACCUGGAGGAAGGUGGGGAUGACGUCAAAUCAUCAUGCCCCUUAUGCUUAGGGCUACACACGUGCUACAAUGGGUGGUACAGAGGGCAGCCAAGUCGUGAGGCGGAGCUAAUCCCUUAAAGCCAUUCUCAGUUCGGAUUGUAGGCUGAAACUCGCCUACAUGAAGCUGGAGUUACUAGUAAUCGCAGAUCAGAAUGCUGCGGUGAAUGCGUUCUCGGGUCUUGUACACACCG